rnacentral:rRNA from 1 species
UGGGGAAUUUUGGACAAUGGGCGAAAGCCUGAUCCAGCAAUGCCGCGUGUGUGAAGAAGGCCUUCGGGUUGUAAAGCACUUUUGUCCGGAAAGAAAUCCUUGGCUCUAAUACAGUCGGGGGUGACGGUACCGGAAGAAUAAGCACCGGCUAACUACGUGCCAGCAGCCGCGGUAAUACGUAGGGUGCAAGCGUUAAUCGGAAUUACUGGGCGUAAAGCGUGCGCAGGCGGUUUGCUAAGACCGAUGUGAAAUCCCCGGGCUCAACCUGGGAACUGCAUUGGUGACUGGCAGGCUAGAGUAUGGCAGAGGGGGGUAGAAUUCCACGUGUAGCAGUGAAAUGCGUAGAGAUGUGGAGGAAUACCGAUGGCGAAGGCAGCCCCCUGGGCCAAUACUGACGCUCAUGCACGAAAAGCGUGGGGAGCAAAACAGGAUUAGAUACCCUGGUAGUCCACGCCCUAAAACGAUGUCAACUAGUUGUUGGGGGAUUCAUUUCCUUAGUAACGUAGCUAACGCGUGAAGUUGACCGCCU